rfam:Gossypium raimondii Chr06_contig_389, whole genome shotgun sequence.
GGGUGCGAUCAUACUAGUACUAAAACACCAGAUUCCAUCAGAACUUUGUAGUUAACCAUGCUUGGGCAAGAGUAAUACUAAGAUGGGUGACCUCUUGGGAAGUCCACGUGUUGCACGUC